UGGAACCCCAGAGUUGUUUUACCUUGCAUUUUUCUGAUCAGUAAUGAUUUUAGAGCAUCUUUUCCUGUGACUAUGAAUGACUAAUUUUUUCAUUUGAAAAAUAUCAUUUGAGCCCACAAAAUAUUAAAAGACCUAGAGGAGGACUCUGUGUUGAAUAACCUUUCUGAAGGAUUAUCAAAGAUCAUGUCUAAGAAUCUCACAGGAAGGAAAAGGGUGGAUGUGUUGCAGUGCACACCCUAGCACCCUAUCAUGCAACGGUCUCCUGGAGCUGCCAGCACCAAACGCCAGCUCCAUGGGACUGGAUCCCUCUACUUCCCCCCUCUACAUUUCUUCCUUAGCUUCAUCUAUGUUUAAGCUCACCCAGCUGCUGCCUUCUCUCACUGACCCUGCUCAGGGUCUCUGGGUACUUUCUCUCCUGGGCCUGCUGCCCGCUCUCCUGCUGUCUCCAUUGGGCAGCCCCCGGGGGGUCUUGGACUAGGACACCUGCCCAUGCCCUCCCUACUGUCUUGCCUCACUGUUGGCUGUCAGGUCUGGUUUUACUUCAAGAUGUCGCUCCUGAUCCCUUCUGUCCAUUUUUGAGCAGGCCCCCUGGCCUCUCAGGCAGUCUAACCUUUGGCCUUCCCUUCCACACAGGUGCACAGGUGCUCUCACUAGGUCUGUUUUUUGUCUACCUGUUUGGGGGAGGGUGUUAGUUUAUGGGACAGAAUGUGAGCUUCCUAAGGUCAGGAACGACUUCAUUUGGUCAUUGUGCUUUUGGCUGGUAGAUACUUAAUGAAGGCUUGGAUCACCUUUCCUACCUUCCUCUCUCCCUGAUGUAGGGGAUUUCCCCCCUCCUCUUGUCAUGUAAAAGCUUCUGCUGACAUUUUAUAUCUCCACCGCAGAAUGAAUCCCCCCCAGCGUGUUUUCCUAAGUUUGUUAAAGAAUAUUUGUUGAGUUGAAUCAGAUCUUCAUUGUGUUUGCAGUUCACUGAAACCUGCAAGUUUGUUUUUUUACAUGAAUUGCUGUCUAGCCAACUUUGCCCCAUGCAGCCUUUGCAGAAUUGCUUGUAGAAAAGCUAAAUUUCUUUUUUGUUGUUUAGUUUUGACCCAUCUAUCGAAAGUGUGUCAAAAUAUUUUUGGAUUCCAUUUUAAGAAUUGGAUUAAUAUUUGUCAAAAUGAUUCCCGAACUCCACAAAAAAUCAGGAAGUCUUUUGUGUUUUGCCAUUCACCCUUUUUUCCCCCUCUACUUUUUGUCACAAGGGGUGAGCUUGUUGGGUGCAAUUAUAAAGAUAAUUGCAAAUAAAGAUAAUGUAAAAGCAGAAAAUAUUAAUAAAUGUAUACAUAUUAUAUAAUCGUAUAUAACAAUUGAUCUUUAAUAGUUAAAUACUGAGCUUUAUUUCUCUUUGUAAAAUAGCUUAUGAGCUUCUAAUAAUUCAGUCUAAUACACGUGCCAUUUGUUAAGUAAUGUAAUAACUUGUACUGUUCUGUACAAGAUGUUUUGUUAGGUCCUGUGAAUACAAAGAGAAAAGUUUCUGUGAAUCGUGCUCACUUAUUUGGUGUACUUAAACACAUAUCCCAUGUACUUCAAAGAUUGAAUGAAAGGUCCUCUAUAUAACAAACUAUAAUAUAGCAAUAUUUGUAGUAGCAAAAGACUCCACAUAAAGUACAUGCCUUUUAGGGAAUGAGUAAACAUGUGUAAGUGUAUAUCAGUGAAACUAAGAAAAUAAAGAACAGAGAAGCUUUAUAUUUAGAUUUAUUAUAUAGAUUUAUAUAAUCUGAUGCUAAGUGAAGGGAGCAGGACUUCUAAGAGAAAAAGACACACUGGCUAUAGCAACUAAAAGACAAAGAACUAAAUGGUCAGCCCCAAAUGUUGUAUAAUUAUAAUGGCAAAGCUUGCCCCAGGAGAAGAGAUGAAAAAAUGUACUUUUCUCCCUUCUGUUCUCCUAGCCGUGGGGGAACCGCAAUGCAUGUAUAAUGAAAUCAGAGGGUUAGAUUUCUUGAACUAUUUAGUUUAGUGGUGGGGAAGGCAGAGGAGGAUUUAUUUGGAAAUAAAGUGAUGUAAAAACAAUAUAUCAGCAUUUUUAAAAUCUCCAAAACAGGUUUUUGUUUUUUUUUGUUUUUUUUAGUAACAUAUAUAAACUAGGGCCCAUAUGAAUAGAAUACAGUUCAUUUGCAAAAAAAUCUGGGUUUUUUCUUUUUUUUUGAAAGUGGAUUAUAAAUUCAGUCUGAUCAGAACAGCGCUGUGGCAGCGAGGAGAAAAGGCACUGCUCUUUUAGGCUGCAUUAAGAAUGUCAUCCAGGAAUUAGGAGGUGGAAGUUCAGACAUCUAGGUAUUGUGUUCAAGUCUCAGGAAACUGUCAAGGGCAGGGCCACAUACCUGAGGAAAGCCAUGAACUUCACACCCUGUUGGGACAAGUAGAAAUCCCAGUGGAUCGAGAGCUCGGCCCAGAAACAAACAGCUGAGCUAAAAAGAUAUUCACCAGGACAAGUCAUUGAGCUUUUGUUAACCUCAGUUUCCUCAUCUAUCAGUGAGAAGAAUAGCAGCAACUUCCUCCCAAGGUGGUCGAGGUAAGGAUCAAAUGAGAUCAUAAACUGCUAAGGAAGCUCAAUGUCUGUAGUUAAGAGCUAUAUAAAUGUGCCACUUUUAGCUACUAGGAGUGUAGUACCUGAAGGUUUACUGAAGGACCCCAGAGAGUUUAGCCUGAAGCUAAGACUCGGAGAGGAGUGCGCUGUUGCCAUCUUGGAGAAACUUUGGGGAAGAAGCUUUAGACUUGUUUGGGGGGAAAGGGUAGCACCGCGAGCAAUGGCACUGUACUUGAUGCAGUUGGGGAUUGGUCUAACUGUCAUGGAAAGCACAUUUACAAAGAAAUUUAACUGAUGUGGGAGAGCAACAUUCAGAGCUAUCCAAAAGUGGAACGUUCUGCCUUGGGAACUGGUGACAUCUAAAUGUCUAAAUGCAGCCUUUUUCUAGUUUUUGCAUCUUUUUGUUCCUUUUAAUUGAAAGGAGGUAAAGUGGCUCAGUUUGAAACAGUAUUUCUCAACAAGUCUUGUCUGGGGGGUGGAAUAGGCUCUUUUGAAGGAGUAACUGCCCAAUAAGCCCAUAUCCAAUGAUUUCUGGAUACUGAUGGCAAAAUAUGCCUUCUGUCUCUUGGUAGAAAUGGGGUAGAUUAUGGGUACCAAAAGAGGCCUGCUUUGAUUUUUCCCCUGCUUGACUAUGCUUGUUUCAAGUCAGGAUCCUAGAGGAUCUUUGCCAUGAGAACUCCAAGGUCCACAGGGUCAUGAAGAGUCAAAUAUGACUGAACGGCUCAAUGGAAUGCAAUUUGGCAGAAAUCAGGUUCAGACUGGCAGCUUGUACUAUGUACCCUAAGAAACUCUUAAGUGGAUAUGCAACCAGAAUAUAAUCGAGUUGCCACCAUUAAAAAAUGAGGAUUAUUGUUAGAGAUUUGGCAGAGUCCCCAGGGCCCUGAGAAGCACCCUUAUUUGCUUUUAACUUUGGCUAGUUGCAAAAUCUGUCUCCCUGAAUUCUUUUUUAAUGCCUUGGGAAAUGCUUUAAAUAGGUAUUUGAAUAUAUUUAAAUAGGUAUUUUUAUUGGUUUGUUUGAAUCCUUAAGUGCUGAGUGAUCCUUUGCAUCCGAAAUGGAGGACAGUAGUGAAGUGUAAUGAUGUAUUAGAAAAGACGAACAUUAAUAGGAUGUUCAGCGGAAAUGACUGGAUGGUUGUAGCUUCUCUAGUGCUGGAGAAAUCUCAGUGGACCCUCUGGGGCCCCUUGUGGGCAGGAUUCCUAGUCAACUCUAGCUCUGUGUAAACUUUCUCAUACUUAUUUCUGAGUUUUUAAAUCCUCCAAAUACCAAACUCUUCCACAGGGAUUCUGGCACCUUGGUCGUGAUCACAGGGUGGGUGAAAAGGGAAUGGAGGCAAAGCAGGAAGCCGUGCUGGGCCCCCUGCUCCCAUGGCUUAGGGCAGGCCUCAGUUGUGGCAGGUGGCUGGGAGAAUGCCAUCCUAGGAAGGUGGCAGGGUCCUCCAAGACUCCUGCACCCAUUUCCUCCUCAUUGGGCUUCUUCCCCUGUGCUGGGGAGGGAAAAGCCCCCUCACUUGCAGUCCGCCCUUCCUAUAGACUCAUCUUUUCUUGUGUCAGACCCAGAUGCACAGGACGCUGGAGUCAGACGAACAUACAUAGCUGAUUUUGCUGGUCCAUGGAGUGUGAAUGUCGGUGUGUCUGGCUGUUAGCUUUGUAUUUAUUUCAUGAGCUUACUUUUUUAAAGUGUUAGCUGAUACACUCACUUAACUUUUAAAAUUCAAACAAGAUUGAAGUAAAUUUUUUCUCUGUGACCAGGAUGAACUGGCAAUUAAAAGACCAGCCUCUGGGUGCUGGGGUAGAAUUGAGAAGAACUGUACAUUUCACAGGGGAGAGUAGACAACUAGAACGCUUUUCUCUUUAUUCACAAGUGCUGUUUCCAACUUUGUUUUUCCUUCAAGACUUUGUAAGUGUUGAUGUUGCAGCGUGACUGUGAAGUAAAUGGCCAGAGCUCCCAGGUAAUUGGGCUAAAGCACUGUUUUAGCAUUUAAAGGGAUCUGGGAAGCCAUGUCCAGUCUCCUCCUCCUGCAGCUGUCGAUGGAGGCAGAGGCCAGUCUGGGGCCCAGAUCCUCAGGCUCUGGAGCUGGGCUGGCUCUUCUGCACCGUGCCGCCUCCACUAACUAACUCGGGUCCGGUCUGUGAUUGUUGUGUUCACUUCCAGGUGGGAUGGCUUACCAGAACACUUUGGUGGGGAGGGGUCUGGAAAUGAUGCCGUAUGAAGAAUGGUUGGCUGAGGGGAUGGGGGGCAGACUUAUUCCGAGGAGCUCACGGGUAGUGGAGGAGACAGAUCUGUGAUUCAGUGCAGUGUUUCCAUCAGUUAGUUGUCCGGCGAUGGGAUACGCUUCCCCUCAGCUGCAGUCUCAGCUGCAUCUUUCUUGGCUCCCAUGUCAUGAGUCAUUCUUAUUUCAUUCUAGAUUUGUCACAAGUUGGAUUUCACUGAUUCUGAAUUGCUAGUGCCCUUUAUGCGACUUUCUUCUCUAGCAGUAGUCUACUUUUUUUUUUUAACUGAGGCAAUUGGAGUUAAGUGACUUGCCCAGGGUCACACAGCCAGGAAGCAUUAAGUGUCCGAGGUCACAUUUGAACUCGGGUCCUCCUGACUCCAGGGCUGUUGCUUUAUCCACUGCCCCACCGAGCUGCCCCUCUACUAGCAUUCUUUUUGGAGAUUUUUAUUAUACUAUUAGCAUGAUUCUUUGAUACUCUAUAGCCUAAAGAUCGCAGCUUUUAUAAUGUAUUCUGAACAAGAAACUGGCUGCACGUGAAUCCAGACCAGUCUCUUCUUGAUGCAACCUUUGUGCUUUGGCCACUGGAAAAUAGGAAGAUGUUUUGAAGAGCUGGGCCACCUGGCCUGGAGAAGAGACAACAUGGGGAACGUUCCCUUCAAAGAGAUUAAAGCUGUAUUUCAAGAGGAAGUAGCCUUGUUCUGCUUGGUCUGCAGGAGAUAUAAUUGGGAGCAAGGUGUAGAAGGGAAAGGUGCUAGGAAAGGCUUCCCAACAAGGAGACUUGUGGCCGUAGGAUCUCAUUAGCUCUCCGCAUGCCCCACCCAAUGGCUGGCCCACGGCUCUGCCUCCCCUGGCCGUUGGCAGGGACGACCACCUGCCUCUCCCUGCAUUCUCCACUCCCGGAUAUUGCUGUGCAUCCCUCCCCCACCAACCACAUGGGGGCUUCUCAUUUCCCAUGAGCACCUACCCUGCCCUUCCGCCCUAAGACGGUCACGCCCUCAACCUUGCUCACUCCCGGUCACCAAUCUGACCGUAAUCCUUGGCCAUUGGGGCUGUGCUCGUCUGUCUCCCCUUUCCGUGUGACCCCCGGCUCAUAUGAAGCUGCACAAAAGCUGCACAUGGUGGUUGCUGUUAAUUGGCAGGUUUCGUUAGCAGAUCACAGCCUGAGAGCUGGGACAGGGUGAAGAGCAGCUUCUGCUUGGCGCGAUCCCCAGAUCUGCGAGGGUGUCUCCACCUUCUCCAACAGAGUCCAGGUUAGUCUGGCGUGGCCCGGGCAUCAAAAUCUUACUGAUGACAUGGUAUUUACACGCUGCCCUCCCAUCCCCCUUUCCUCAGCCAGCCCCCAUUGAAGCUGCCCUCGGGACACAGGCCUUCCUAAAGCAGAGGUGGGACCCUGUCCCCUCCCCCUUCAGAAUCCAGUGUAGCCUCCCAGGUCUGGCGCUUCAGUGACCCGGAGUGCAUGCGGAGGGCUGUCCUGGCCGCGGCACAGGGGGAGGGAGCUACGUGACAGACAUUCACCUGGUGCUUGGUGGCUGGCUGGUGCUCCCCUUGGUGGCUGGCUGGUGCUCCCCUCAGCGGCAGCCCAGAGGUCACAGGCCGCCUCCUCUCCAAGGCUGUUUCUGUCUCUCGUGCCCAGCCUAGGGCCUGACACACAACCACUGUCAUCAGUGGGUGCCAAGUGACCCGCUGACCUGCCUCCCUGCAGAGGGAGCCCAUGGUCCCCUCUGCCCUUGGGAAGCAGUUUUGGAACCUGAGUCUUUUUAGGGUGGCCUUGGCUAGCCUGUCAUUCUCGGCUCUGGGAGCAGCCAAGGCAAAGACCUAGAGAGGAUUUAAUAGUUGACAAAAGUGUCUUCCAACAGACACGGGCUCCUUCUCUACAGUCAGUUUCUUUAUGGGAUGGUAAAUUAGGGUUCAGAAAAGUUGCGUUUUAUCUCAGUGAGCCCGGCACUGAUUGAUAUGACGGAGCUGGAAAACCUUGCCCAUGAAAUGGAUGGGCUGACCUCGGGAGCCUAGCAUGCACCGGGACCACCGGGUCCUUGUCAGGCUUCUGCCCCAGACUAGGAGAAGGGAGCCCUGGUUUUCCUCUAUAGCUUCACUUGUCUGACUCCUUUGCAUUCAGGUUUGUCUGGUGAAGGAAGAGGCGGCUUCCCAAAUGGCUCAGCCUCGGCCACCAGUAUGGGCGCUGGCGACCAUCUCCAGGGAGCUACGCUUCUCCCAGAGUUUACACUGUUCUCCUGCUUCUUUCUAACUGAAAAACGAUCUGAAUGUUCAGAAUCUUUUAAAAAUGAUUGUUCAUUCUUUCUUCCUACCUAUGAAAAUUUUGAGUUGCAUCUUGCCCUUUUAUUCAGGGAGAUGAAUGACUUCUGCCUCCUUCUGCGACCCCAGCUGCCUGCCCUCCAGAGAGGCUCUUGGGCCGGCCCAACAGAACCCGGAGCUUCUGCCAGUUCCACCUCUUGGGGUCCAAAACCAAAGUCUCUCCUGUUAUGCCAGCCGGCUAGUAACGGCGCCUUCCUAGCAAACUGUGCUGCUCGUGCUGUGCUGGGAGGAGCCUGCGGGUCUGGAGGCCGAAGGGGAUUCCAGAAGGGAGAGCAUCUGUUGUAGCUGAAGAGGUGCUCCUCGUACACGGCAAAGGGAGGCUCUGGGACUAAGCUGAGGAGACCCGGGCUCUCCUUCCUGUGUGAGACUUAGAGAUGGAGGACAUGGAGGAGGCUUUCCAUUUUGUUUGUACAAGAAGCAGGCAGGAGUGCAGCUCUGAUGAGCAACGAGGUGGAACGAGCCCUUUGGCUCGCAGGAAGAAGUUUGGCUGAACUAACUAAUGGUCACUAACCGAAGAAUCCCACUGAACUUUCGGGAAAAGACUGAAAUGGCUGCCCACAAGUGCUACUGUUCCUUUAACAAGCAGAUGAGUCCAUUGUGGAGAGGGUCAGGAUGCUCCUGUCGUUGGUACAGAAGGGGUCCGAUGGGCUCCAUGAUCUACAGUAACAAUAAGAGACAAGUUUGGCUGACUGGGGAACCUCAGUUUUGAGA